rnacentral:rRNA from 1 species
UACGUAGGGUGCAAGCGUUGUCCGGAAUUAUUGGGCGUAAAGAGCUCGUAGGCGGUUCGUCACGUCGGCUGUGAAAUCCCGAGGCUCAACCUCGGGUCUGCAGUCGAUACGGGCGGACUUGAGUACUGCAGGGGAGACUGGAAUUCCUGGUGUAGCGGUGAAAUGCGCAGAUAUCAGGAGGAACACCGGUGGCGAAGGCGGGUCUCUGGGCAGUAACUGACGUGAGGAGCGAAAGCGUGGGGAGCGAACAGG